rnacentral:misc_RNA from 1 species
AGCACCGGUGUUGCGAGCGCGACUCACGCACUGACAAGCAAAGGGCCUACACGAGCGGGCGAACGAUGUCCGGCCUCUUCAACUCCUAUGAGGAGGACUUCAACGACACUGUGCGGGGCCUCCGCGAGGGGUGCUCCAAACUGCAGGCAGACAUUGAUGCACAAUCCGCCCAUGAGAAGGACCCGACACGCAUCUACCACCCACCGCCUGCCACCGGCCCCCUCAGCCGGGCGCAGCAGCUGCAGGUGGUGCAGCAGAGCCUCUCUCACGCAAAGGACCUGCUCACCAGUAUGAUGUACGAGAUGACAGACCUUGCGCCCUCAGAGGGAGCGGCGGCGAAGGAGAAGGUAGGGGCGUUCCGCAAGAUAUGCAACGGCCUAGAUCGAGAGGUGGCGCAGUUGCGGCAGUCGUGUAAUGCGGCGGACAGGACAGACUUGCUUCGGUUUGGCGGCUCCGCUGCUGCCGGCGGCACAGGCGACGCCUUUAUGACGGAGGCGGAUGCCGACACACAGGCGCAUCGCCUCUUGGCCCUUCAAACGACCGAGAAGCUACAAGGCGGCACCAGCACGCUGCGCAAGGCAGAGGCGUACCUCGCGCAGACCAACAGUCUCGGCCGCGAGUCCCUCAACACGCUCCGCACGCAGACAGAGCAGAUUGCGCACGUGCAAGAAAUCACCAACGACGUCGACGCCGAGAUAUCCCGAGCGCGGGUGCUUAUCAACCAGAUGCAGCGCACCGCCAUCAAGCACAAGAUGUGGCUCAUUGGCAUCAUCCUUCUACUACUCGGCUUCCUCUUCUUCUUCGUCUACCUUCACUGAUGGAGCGAAGGAGAGAUUGCGUGACUGGGCGUGCUGGCUGUGGGCCGACGUGAGUAUCUCUGUGCGUGCGCGCGCUUCCUCCAUCGCCUCUUUCGUUGCUGCUGCUCCUCCUUGCCUUGCUACGUACUUUGUAUUGCCGGCACAGCUGCACACGUUCUUUGCCGAAUUGCUGUGCCCUCUCUGUGUGCACCUCCGCCCCGCAGAGCUUGCCUCUGAUCAAUUUGACGCGCCGUGCAAGGCGGCAGCCACAAGCCGAUGGCGCGCUCCCCAAGGCUGCUCUGCACCGUUGAUGGUGGAGGUGGAGAAAGGGAGCUGCGACGAGCGAGAACGGGAGCCGAGCGUUGACGAGAUUCACAGAUGUGAACGUGGGUAUCAUGAGAACGUGCCUGCGCCGCCUUGGUUCUGGUGAGGCGCUGUGUGCUUCUGCACUCCGCAGUCACGUGUGUUUCUCCAUCGAGCACGGGUGCAGCGUGGCGGCAGUCUAAGGCAGCCGAUGACCCCCCCCCCCCCCCCCCACAGCGGCACGUUCUACAUCUCCCUGGUGCCUUAGUCCACUGCGUUGCGGUGGACGACGAGAGCGCAUCAACUUCUCAGAAACCCCGAGGACACAGCGCGUCGGUCCCUUCCUCGCCACCCUGCUUGCUCGUCCGUGCAGUCUGUGCCUCUCCCUCUACCGCCGUCAUGCUUUACCUUUUCCACACCGUCUGCGCCCCCUCAAAACCCCUGCAUGUCUUUUCCCAUGAGAGGAGCGCUGCAGCAAUCACAGAGGAUCUCGCCUCUCUCCCUCCGAGCUGCUGGCUGCGUUCCCCACACCCCUCCUCCUAUCUCUCUUUCUCUGUGCGUGUGUGCGCUUCUGUUUUAC